UAUUCCCUAUCAUCCUCACACGGCAAAACCAUUUUGUUUUCUUCCCAUUUUUGAUGAAUGUUUAGUCCUUCAUCAACCAUGGCAGGGUUUGACCUUCCCAAUUUGUGCAAGUCUCGGUACCAUCAACACAAGAGGCCAACAAACAUCUUGAAAUCUGAUUUUUGUUUUACACAGAGAAAAUAAAAAAGCAGAGAUUUUUCUAAUCCGUGACACCCUCUGCUGCACCCUCAAACGGCUAUAUUUGAGAUCAAAAUCCUGCUCAUAAAAGGAUUACUUUUCGACUCCUAAAAAAAGAGGGAUCUCUUUUAACUCUUCAGCCAGACUAAGCUUCAAGGAGGAAAAAAACUCUCUCAUCUAAGCUAUUAUAUUUUCUACUGUCUCUCAAAGAAAAUUGAGCAUUUUUUGCUAUCUCUUAAUUCCUGUCCGACUCAAUCGUGCUCACAAAGGAGUAGAUCUGAAGAGGACCUUAAAGCCCCGUUCACUGCACCAACGAAAGGUAUGAAGACUUUACAUUGGACUAUGCUUUGAUCAACAGCGGAUGAGAAUCGAGGAUAUCACAAAAUGGAGCCAAGAAAUUUAGACAUGACAAAAUUGUAUUACUUAGAUUAGGAAGUACUUUAUGUUAUAUUCAUUCGAUAUGUAAUAAAUAUUACAUUACUUUUGUACUUUAUUUUGGGAAAUAGAAUUUGUUUAAUUAGCCAAGAGCAAUGGGAUGACGUAUUAUGACACAUUUUACCCUUCAAACAAACGUUAGGCCUACCUCUGGCACAAAGAGGUCACAUGCA